CUCUAAGUACCCUUAAUAAUAUUAUCUAACAGGUAAUAAUAAUUGUUGAUGUGUUUACGUCGUCGGUCGAAAUAGCUGUAUUUAUAACAACUGUAGUGUAAGGCUACAAAGUUAAAUUUGUCGAAAAACAAACGUACUCACCUAUAAGUAUUAGUAGGUAGGUUAUAAUGUCGUGUGAUCACGCAUGAGUGCAUGACUCAUUUCAAAUACCCAACUAACUAAACAAAACGGAAC